ensembl:lncRNA
AAAUAAUCUUUUCUUUUUCUUUUGACCCUCGAAAAUGGAAAAAAAAAAAGUGGAAAUUUUCAAACAGUUCUAUGGUAUUGAGACCUCAGAAAGUUCCUGUAAGUGUUUAAAUAUGGAUAUAUCCAUAAUUCCUCCUAAAAAAUACAGUCUUUGGUCAACAUUUCACCAACUUUUGAGGCUUUAACAUGAGUAGAACUUGAUAUAUGGUAAGAAAAGGUUCAAUUUUUUCUUUUUUUUGUUAUUUUGACAAAAUGUUGAUGUGAAGUACAAAAACUAGUGUGUAUAGGGGUCUGUAUAUGGUCAUUAUAUGGGGAAAAAUAGAUUUUAACGACGGAGUCUCCCAAACUUUUUGGCUUGUCGAUGAAGAAAUCAUCAUUUCUUUUAAUUUUGCCCCUUAAAAAUGGAAAAAAGUGCAAAUUUUACAAACAGUUGUAGCAUUGGGAUCCCAGAAAGUACUUAUAAGUGUGUAUAUCUAUGGAUGGAUCCACAAUUUCCACUAAAAUAGAGUCUUUGGUCGACAUUUCACCAACUUAUGAGGCUCUAACAUCAGUAGAAUUUGAUGUUUUGGCAGUUUUUUGCUAUUCUUUCGAUGUAUUCAUAGGAACACAGUAACGGGUGUGUCUAGGGGUCUAUACGUUGUUAUUAUAUGUAACAAGCUGCUUCCAUGUUGAAAUUUAACAACAUAUAAUACAUAUACCUACAGUAUAUGCUGAAGAAGACCAUGUGUGUGGUGCUUGAAAGCUAAAAACAGCCGCUUAAGUUGACCUUGAGAUGGGAUUUCUUCGUCAAACUUAAUUCAAGAUUAAUUUUAUGCUCAUCCAGACAUUUCCCAGUACAUUUUCUUUAGUUUUUUUCUUUUUCAUUCCUAAUGAAAGCAAUUGGACGACAGGAAAACUUUAGUUCUGCUCCAGACUUUUAUUAAAACUUCAACGGGGAGAUCAGAUGGAGGCUUUGGAGUCUUACAUGUUGCUGAACUGUUUUUUUUUUGUUUGUUUUUUUUUUUGCUCCGUUUUAUCAUUUGGAAACCGAUCAGUCACUUCA